AAUGAACGCUGGCGGCAUGCCUAACACAUGCAAGUCGAACGAAGUCUUCGGACUUAGUGGCGCACGGGUGCGUAACGCGUGGGAAUCUGCCUUGGGGUUCGGAAUAACUCCCCGAAAGGGGUGCUAAUACCGGAUGAUGUCGAAAGACCAAAGAUUUAUCGCCCUGAGAUGAGCCCGCGUAAGAUUAGCUAGUUGGUGGGGUAAAGGCCUACCAAGGCGACGAUCUUUAGCUGGUCUGAGGGGAUGAUCAGCCACACUGGGACUGAGACACGGCCCAGACUCCUACGGGAGGCAGCAGUGGGGAAUAUUGGACAAUGGGCGAAAGCCUGAUCCAGCAAUGCCGCGUGAGUGAUGAAGGCCUUAGGGUUGUAAGGCUCUUUUACCCGGGAUGAUAAUGACAGUAC
rnacentral:rRNA from 1 species